rnacentral:sRNA from 1 species
UCGAUCAUGGGUGGCAUGGACCACAUGGU